UUUUUUUUUUUUUUUUUGAGACAGAGUCUCACUCUGUCACCCAGGCUGGAGCACAGUGGUAUGGUUUUGGCUCACUGCAACCUCCGCCUCCUGGGUUCAAGGGAUUCUCCUGCCUCAGCCUCCUGAGUAGCUGGGAUACAAGCAUGCAUCACUAUGCCCAGCUAAUUUUUGUAUUUUUAGUAGAGACGGAGUUUUGCCAUGUUGGCCAGACUGGCCUCUAACUCCUGACCUCAGGUGAUCUGCCCACCUCAGCUUCCCGAAGUGCUAGGAUUCCAGGCAUGAGCCACCGUGCCUGGCUGAUGAGGAUCUUUUUAAUAUAUUGUUGAAUUUCAUUUGCUAGUAUUUUGUUGAGGAUUUUUUGUGUCAAUGUUCAUCAGAGAUAUUGGCCUGUAGUUUUCUCUUUUUGCUGUGUCUUUGUCUGGUUUUGGUAUCAGGUUUUGACCUCUGGAAUGGACAUUCCCCUCUGGCUAUGGCUGGUCUAAAUGUUCCCUCCAUGUGUUGGUCUAAAUGUUCCCUCCAGCUGUGUUGCUUUCCACUGUGAGAGGCCAGCAUUGAGUUCCAAUGCAAAGUUCCACAAUCACUGUGCAACCCCUCCUCCAAGUGCACAGAUUCUCUCUCUGAGGCCAUUGCUGGAGGCUGAGUGAGGAGGUAGUGUAGGCAAUUUCAGACUGCUUUUUCUACUCUUUUCAGUGACUCUUUCCUUCAUGUACCAGUCCGUUUUCGUGCUACUGAUAAAGACAUACCCAAGAGUGGGUAACAUAUAAAGAAAAGAAAGUCUAAUGGAAUCGCAGUUCCACAUGGCUGGGGAGGCCUCACAAUCAUGGCGGAAGGUUAAUGGCAUGUCUUACAUGGCAAAGGGAAUGAGUGCCAAGCAAAAGGGGUUUCCCCUUAUAAAACCAUUAGAUCUUGUGAGACUUAUUCACUACCAACGAGAACAGUAUGGGGGAAACCACCCUAAUGAUUCAAUUAUCUCCCACUGGGAACCUCCCACUACAUGUGGAAAUUAUGGGAGCUAGAAAUCAAGAUGGGAUUUGGGUGGGGACACAACCUAACCAUAUCAUUCUGCCCCUGGUCCCUCCCAAAUCUCAUGUCCUCACAUUUCAAAACAAUCAUGUAUUCCCAACAGUCCCCCAAAGUCUUAACUCGUUUCAGCAUUAACGCAGAAGUUCACAGUGCAAAGUCUUAUCUGAGACAAAGCAAGUCCCUUCUGCCUAUGAACCUGUAAAAUGAGAAGCAAGUUAGUUACUUCCUAGAUACAAUGGGGGAUUGGAUAAAUACACCCUUUUCAAAUAGGAGAAAUGGGCCUAAACAAAGGGGCUAAAUGCCCCAUGCAAGUCUGAAAUCCAGCAUGGCAGUCAAAUCUUAAAGCUCCAAAAUGAUCUCCUUUGACUCCAUGUCUCACAUACAGGUCGUGCUGAUGCAAGAGGUGGGUUCCCAUGGUCUUGGGCAGCUCUGUCCCUGUGGCUUUGCAGGGUACAGACUCCCUCCCAGCUGCUUUCAAAAGCUGGUGUUGAGUGUCUCCAGCUUUUCCAGGGGCACUAUGCAAGCUGUUGGUGGAUGUAUCAUUCUGGGGUCUGUAGGACAGUGGCUCUCUUCUCACAGCUCCACUAGGCAAUGCCCCAGUGGGGAUACUGUGUGGGAGUUCCAACCUACAUUUCCCUUCCCCACUGCCCUAGCAGAGGUUCUCCGUGAGAAACCCACCCCUGCAGCAAACUUCUGCCUGCACAUCCAGGCAUUUUUAUACAUCCUUUUAAAUCUAGGCAGAGGUUCCCAAACCUCAAUUCUUGACUUCUGUGCACCUGCAGGCUCAACACCAUGUGGAAGCCGCCAAGGCUUGGGGCUUGCACUCUUUAAAGUCAUGGCCCAAGCAGUACCUUGGCUGCUUUUAGCUAUGGCUACAG
ensembl:lncRNA